rnacentral:pre_miRNA from 1 species
UGCUCACUUCACUGCUCAACCUUGCCUAUCCGAUCGGCUUGCACUGUCUGGUUAUAUUAAAGGGAAAGUGCUUCCCGUUCGGAUGAGUUAGGUUUGAGGUGUGACA